CAGUAGGGAAUCUUCCACAAUGGACGAAAGUCUGAUGGAGCAACGCCGCGUGAGUGAAGAAGGGUUUCGGCUCGUAAAACUCUGUUAUUAAAGAAGAACAUAUCUGAGAGUAACUGUUCAGGUAUUGACGGUAUUUAACCAGAAAGCCACGGCUAACUACGUGACAG
rnacentral:rRNA from 1 species